UACAGCCGAGCACAGCUGUGAGAAUUUAUAAACCAGCCUUUGCAGAGAACUGAACUGCAUCAGACAGCAGGGGGAGCAACAUGAAGUCACAGACCCAGGUCCUCAUAUCCCUGCUGCUUUGGAUGUCUGGUGCCUGUGCAGACAUCGUGAUGACUCAGUCUCCAUCCUCCCUGGCUGUGUCACCAGGAGAGAAGGUCUCCAUCAGCUGCAAGUCCAGUCAGAGUCUUUUAGGCUCUAAAAGCCAAAAGAACGUAUUGUCCUGGUACCAGCAGAAAACAGGGCAAUCUCCUAAGCUGCUGAUCUAUUAUGCAUCCACUCGGCACACUGGGGUCCCUGAUCGCUUCACAGGCAGUGGAUCUGAGACAGAUUUCACUCUCAGCAUCAGCAGUGUGCAGGCUGAAGACCUGGCAGUUUAUUACUGUAUGCAGGGUAAAAGUACUCCUCCCACAGUGCUUCAGCCUCAAACACAAACCUCCUUGAGAGUCUCACCAGCUGCCUGCACCACACACAGCCCUGGCCCUGCACACUUCCCCCUUCUGUGUGAUAGCAGUCAGGAGUCAUUCAGGGAAAAGUGUACAGGAGACAUCUGGGAUUUCUGCAAGGGAACUUAGUUUUUCUUUUUCCCA